rnacentral:rRNA from 1 species
UACGUAGGGCGCAAGCGUUGUCCGGAAUUAUUGGGCGUAAAGAGCUCGUAGGCGGUUUGUCGCGUCUGCUGUGAAAACCUAAGGCUCAACCUUGGGCUUGCAGUGGGUACGGGCAGACUAGAGUGCGGUAGGGGAGUGCGGAAUUCCUGGUGUAGCGGUGAAAUGCGCAGAUAUCAGGAGGAACACCGGUGGCGAAGGCGGCACUCUGGGCCGGAACUGACGCUGAGGAGCGAAAGCGUGGGGAGCGAACAGG